UGGGGGGAGGGAGUGUUGAGAAACACAAUAAUAAAAUAUAAUAUAAAAUCCAUGUAAUUAUUCCCUGUGAAAACGAGACUCUGGGCAUAAGGACCUACACUUGUGACCCUAACCCACAUAGAAGCCUGGUGUGGCUGUGUGCAUGUCACUCCAGCAUGUGAGUGGGGGACAAGGAGACCCCAAAGCUCAUUGGUGAGCCAGCUGACCCGAAUUGAUGAGCUCCUGGCUCAGGGAGAGACCCUACCUCAGAAAAUAAAGUGGAGAGCAUUUGAGAAAGGCACCCAAAACCAACCUCCGACCUCCAUAUAUACACAUGAACAUGUACACACAUGAAUACUUUAUAACAAACAUAUAAGAAAACCUAUGUUUUGUUUUAAUAUGGAUACCAUGUAACGAAAGAUACUGACACUAUUAGCUAGUGCUGUUUUGCACCAUUUGACUUCUGGUUUAGGUGUAACAACUCUUUGGAAAAGUAAGCCACAGGAUUCAGUUGUAUGCUUUUUAUCUGUAUUAGUUUCCCGUGUACAGUCUUAAGAUCGUAGCUGUGAGCACCACUCUGUCCUCUGUCACGCUUAUGUCCUGACCCCAUAGGUAGAGCCAACCUUCCCAGCCACUGAGCCUUUUGAUUCGUACACAGCCCAGUCAUGUCUGGAGUAAGUCCUUUGGCUUUGAAAAUCUUGGGUCACUGUAGAUCCCAUGUUCCAAAGUACUUGCUAGGCUUUCAUUCUUGAAAUCUUGUGUCUUUCCCUCGGACCUCCUUAACCGUUCCGUCAGUCCGUUUGCACCACAGCCUCAGGCUUCAGGUGUCCCUCGUCAUCGUUUAUCAUUAGCUCUCAAGCCUUCCAUCUGGGUACAUAUUAUUUCAUUCAUUUCUUGUCUUCAGAAAGCCCCCUUGGACCCUCUCACACUACCCUAAGGAACCUGUCGCUUAGCUGUUGGCCCCUUUCAUCCACAACCCGGUCCUCCUAAAAUAACUACUACUAAGCAUGUUAGGAACAGAACUUAAAUACUUCAUUAAGAAUUUUAAAUAUUUAAAUAAAGAUGUAAAUAUUUAGAGUGAAUCCCACUCACCUCUACAGGGUGUAAUUACAUUUGGUCUACUCUCGCACCUUCCUCCUACAUACAGUUGGAUGAAGAUGAGGACUGCAUUGCCCUUGAUAUGAGGGUCAGUGUUAGACAGAGAGCCUCCCACAGAAAGGGGAGAUAGCUCAGAUGCCAAUGAUGUGCUCAGCUCAGCAAAGGGGAAUCAGGCACAGUUUGUGUAAGUGACCUUUCCUUUCAGCUGUUAGGUUAUUGCCACUAAACUGGGAGGAGGCCUGAAAGUCUCCCCUGGGCACUCCUCAGAGACCUUCGCAGAACUCUGUUUGCAGAUGUUCAAGGAGGGUUACUAGGAACCUGUAGGCAUCUCUAAAAUGCAUACUCAAAACCAAGCCUCAUUCUGUAGAGCGACUGUCGUUACUGAGAAAGGGUACACAGACUGCAGAGGGCUCAGCACUCAGGCCUAACUUAGGUCUCCAGAUUCCGCACGUUGUCAGGACGGACGCCUGAGAGCUGUCCUCUGGCCCCACACACAUGCUGUGGCGUGUGUACACCAGUACUCACACACAAUAAGUACAUAUUUUAGAAGAUACUACUCCAGUUAUCUUAUACAGUAAGAUAUUUAUAAUUUUGUGUAAUAAAUAGUAUAGCAAUAUACUACAGUUCUUUGAAUAUUAAAGCUUUAUUGCUAAUGUUCAUUGAAUACAAGAGUCACCAGGAAAGAUGGUUUUCUAUAGCAGUGUCUUGCACACUUCAAUACUGGUGUGAAAACUCAAGACCUGGCAUUUUCUGCUGCUGUGGACGAGUGUGCUUGUCAAAAGAACCCUCUUCAGCUGGUUUCAGAAUCCUGCACUUGUCUGGCACUCUUACCCUAAGUAAUAAUUUUUUCUAGUUGAGCUUAGCCAUACUUUAUUCUCUGGAUAGGGCUGGACAUUGGAAUAAUAUAGCUUGAAUUGAAUUUUCCCAAAUAAAUAUGCCCAAAUAAAAUACUGGGUUCUUACUAGUUUUUGAUAUAUUACUCUUAAUAAACAUAUAUAUAUAUAUCAUAUAUAUACAUGUAUAUAUUAGCUUUUCUGCAUUUCAGAACCUCUAUAUUAUAUUAGAUAAACCUAUUAACAUAUAUAGUUUGUUUAUACAUCAAAUUAGGAAACACUGUGUUUAUCAAGGGCAUCUUCUGGCACGUAGCUCCCUUACACUCCUUUUCCUCUUCGUAGUACCCGUCUUGCCAAGAGCAGAGGCAUGACAGACCUGUAUGCUCACAGUACAGUGUCUGAGAAGUUGUCAUAGGUCAGCCACCAUUGUCUUUAAAGCCAUUCUAGUCUGUAACUAUAGACUAGACUUUAUCUAUAACUGUCAUUAUAGAUGUGCCAUGCUGGCGAGAAAUCUAGGGAACGGUCCUGAUCAAAGCUGGCAGCCAAGGAAAAGGCCCACACAGCAGUCUAACAGGCUGAGUCCCAUGUGUACAGCCCAUGUGGCAGGAGAGGGAGUCAAGUUUCCUCAACUGAAACUGUGCAGUGAUCCUUGUAACCUUUGCUGUGCAAGGGGGGAGAUGAGGGUCCCGUAUGUGUCACUAGUGAAACUUCAGUAUUCCUUGGAACCUUUGCUGUGCAAGGGGGGAGAUGAGUGUCCCGUCUGUGUCACUAGUGAAACUUCAGUGUUCCUUGGAACCUAUUGUGCAGUGGAGAAAUGAGUGUCCUGUCUGCAUUGCUCAGAGAAGAUGAUAAAGGAGAGGGCAGCCUCCGCCAGGCAGGACAGACACAUGCUGCUCCGACGUGGAUGCCCUUGGUGCUCUCUAAUGGAAAGCUUUCAAGGCCAUCUCCAAGUGUCUGUCUGCUUUCACUUUACUUAUCUGAACUGGCUGUUUCCAGUGAACUGUGGCCUGUGUGUAGUCAGGGACCAUUCAAUAGUUUAUUCCCUCUAAAAGCUCUGAGUAUUCCCAUCGUUCAGGGAUUAGCAUGUAAGUCCUGGGAAAUGGUAUUUUAAACAAGCUCAACUUGACCAUGGUCUUUCAACAAAAGCCAUCAGGAUGCAGACAGUCACUUUAAGGCGUCAUCAGACAGGUACACUGGAGAGUCCCUUCCCUGGGGCUCCUGGGCACAAGUGAAAGCUGAGACUAAAGCUUUUACCCUCUCCCAGCUGUGCGUUCACUCCUCCCUCCCACUUCAUCUCCUCAUAGAGACCCGUGCACACACCUCAGAACAAGUAGAUGGUUCCUGGAACUGCUCCUGGAUCCCACUUCUCUCUACCAUUCAAAUCAAGCUUGGUUUUUGAGACUAUAUUAGACUUUUGGCAGUAUUUUUUGUAUUUUAUAAUAUGGAAUAUUUAUAACUGAUUUUUCUUGAGAUAAAAUUCCCAUUUUAAUGUGUAGACAGUUCUGGAUUUUAUAAUAUAUUUGCUAUAGUAUACAGUGGUCCAUACUGUCUAAUAACAGAACAAUUUUGUCACCGCAAAAAGAAACCUCAUGUGAGUUCAGCCUUGACUUCUCUGACUCACAACCCAGUGGGAUAACCAUUUCUCUGUUUACCUGUUCUAAAUAUUUAAAUCAGUGAAGACAUACCUGUUUAUGUUUGGCUUCUUUCAUUUAACAUGUUUUUAGAGUUUUUGUCCAUGUCACAGCAUGUAACAAUACUUUUUCAUGACCAUAUAAUAUUCCGUCAGUACUCAGUUAUCAGUGAGAGUUAUUUCAGCUAUCUCUGCUCUGAGGCAUGUUCUUGUGGGACAUGUUUUCGGUUUAGUGGUGUACACUGGUGUUGAAUUGCUGGGUUAUGAUUAACCUUCUGAGAAACUGCCAAGCUUUUUCGGGCCACAGCUGCACCAUUUCACACAGUCCCUGGCAGCGUGUAGGGGCUCCAGAGACUAAACACGGGGCUUAUCUCAUCCUCGAAGCCAGUUGUCAUCAUAGGUACUCAUACGUGCAGUACUCCACAGCCUGGUCUGUCGUAUGCUUGCCCCAGCGAGUGGCGCUGUUUGGGGAAGUCACAAAGAAGCUUUGGGGGUUGUAGCUGACUGAAAGUAGGCAGAUAGGUCCUGCAGGGUGGUCCUUCCCAGCACACUUCCGUCUCCUGCUUCCCAGCCACCAGGCUGUGGACUCUGCUGCUCUACCGUGUCCUCUGAACCAUAUUGGAAUAAGCUCUCUAAAACCGAGAAAAAAGAUCUAUUUCCUCCAUUUAAUUGUCAGGUAUUUGUGUAACCGCUGUGUAGUAGUAAGUAACACAAAAUACUGGUACCAAGAAGUGGGGUUGCUGCUGUACUACGCCGGGUGACGUGGCUCUUACGCUGUUUACCUGGUUUGCAGCAGUUUGGAAAACACUGGAGAAGCAGGGUACAGGAGCUGCUACAGGGAUGAAAGCAAAGGCAAAUAAACAACUCUCAGGUCAUCCAGAGACCAAAACACCAACUGGAGUGGGCCGGCAGAGGCCAGACUCCUGAGGUUCCAACCAGAGUGGGCCGGCAGAGGCCAGACUCCUGAGGUUCCAACCAGAGUGGGCCGGCAGAGGCCAGACUCCUGAGGUUCCAGAGGGAACUCAACUAAAGGCCGUGCUUACUAUGUCCUGGCAAAGGAUUUAUCUGCUUUGAGUCUGUGUCCUGUGCUGAACUGAGAAAUGAA
rnacentral:sRNA from 1 species